UACGUAGGGUGCAAGCGUUAAUCGGAAUUACUGGGCGUAAAGCGUGCGCAGGCGGUUGUGCAAGACAGAUGUGAAAUCCCCGGGCUUAACCUGGGAACUGCAUUUGUGACUGCACAGCUGGAGUGCGGCAGAGGGGGAUGGAAUUCCGCGUGUAGCAGUGAAAUGCGUAGAUAUGCGGAGGAACACCGAUGGCGAAGGCAGGUCACUGGGCCGCAACUGACGCUGAGGAGCGAAAGCAUGGGGAGCGAACAGG
rnacentral:rRNA from 1 species